rnacentral:rRNA from 1 species
CGAAUCUCGAAAGCCUAUCUCAGUUCGGAUUGGAGGCUGAAACCCGCCUCCAUGAAGUUGGAUUCGCUAGUAAUCGCGCAUCAGCCAUGGCGCGGUGAAUACGUUCCCGGGCCUUGUACACACCGCCCGUCAAGCCAUGGGAGCCGGGGGUGCCUGAAGUUCGUUACCGUAAGGAUCGACCUAGGGCAAAACUGGUGACUGGGGCUAAGUCGUAACAAGGUAAC